AGCAGCCGCGGUAAUUCCAGCUCCAAUAGCGUAUAUUAAAGUUGUUGCAGUUAAAAAGACUCGUAGUUGAAUUUCGGGGUCGGUAGGUUGGUCAUGCCUCUGGUAUGCACUGGUCUCACUGAUUCCUCCUUCCUGAUGAGCCGUAAUGCCAUUAAUUUGGUGUUGCGAGGAAUCUGGACUGUUACUUUAGAAAAAAUUAGAGUGUUUAAAGCAAGCUGACGCUUGAAUACAUUAGCAUGGAAUAAUGGAAUAGGACGUUCGAUCCUAUUUUGUUGGUUUUCUAGGAUUGACGUAAUGAUUAAUAGGGAUAGUUGGGGGCAUUAGUAUUCAAUUGUCAGAGGUGAAAUUCUUGGAUUUAUUGAAGACUAACUACUGCGAAAGCAUUUGCCAAGGAUGUUUUCUAUUAAUCAAGAACGAAAGUUAGGGGAUCGAAGACGAUCAGAUACCGUCGUUAGUCUUAACCAUAAACUAUGCCGACUAGGGAUCGGAUGAUGUUAAUUUUUAAUUAGACUCAUUCC
rnacentral:rRNA from 1 species